rnacentral:misc_RNA from 1 species
GAUGAAGAACGCAGCGAAAUGCGAUACGUAAUGUGAAUUGCAGAAUUCAGUGAAUCAUCGAGUCUUUGAACGCACAUUGCGCCCCCUGGUAUUCCGGGGGGCAUGCCUGUCCGAGCGUCAUUGCUGCCCUCAAGCACGGCUUGUGUGUUGGGCCUCCGUCCUCCUCCCGGGGGACGGGCCCGAAAGGCAGCGGCGGCACCGCGUCCGGUCCUCGAGCGUAUGGGGCUUCGUCACCCGCUCUUGUAGGCCCGGCCGGCGCUUGCCGACACCUCCAUCUUUUUUCCAGGUUGACCUCGGAUCAGGUAGGGAUACCCGCUGAACUUAAGCAUAUCAAUAAGCGGAGGA